rnacentral:rRNA from 1 species
CGCGGCGGUGUCCCGGCCGGCCCGCUCGACGGUGUUCAGUGGCGGUGGGCCGCCGAUUCCAUUUUGGCGUCCGACCCGUCGCAAGCUCGGCGAAGUUCCGCGGGCUCGGACCUAGCGCCGACCCCGGGACCGUCCGGCUGUUGGCGGCGGUGUUUUUCUCGGACAGACCCGGAACACACGCCCGUCGGCGACGCUAUAGCUUUGGGUACUUUCAGGACCCGUCUUGAAACACGGACCAAGGAGUCUAGCAUGUGCGCGAGUCAUUGGGAUUCGUAGCUAAACCUAAAGGCGAAAUGAAAGUGAAGGCGCGCCUGGCGCGCGCCGAGGGAGGAUGGGCGAGGCCGCAAGCCGUCGCCCCGCACUCCCGGGGCGUCUCGUUCUCAUCGCGAGAAGAGGCGCACCCAGAGCGUACACGCUGGGACCCGAAAGAUGGUGAACUAUGCCUGGUCAGGACGAAGUCAGGGGAAACCCUG